UACGAAGGGGGCUAGCGUUGUUCGGAAUUACUGGGCGUAAAGCGCACGUAGGCGGCUUUGCAAGUUAGAGGUGAAAGCCCGGGGCUCAACUCCGGAAUUGCCUUUAAAACUGCAUCGCUAGAAUUGUGGAGAGGUAAGUGGAAUUCCGAGUGUAGAGGUGAAAUUCGUAGAUAUUCGGAAGAACACCAGUGGCGAAGGCGGCUCACUGGACGACUGAUGACGCUGAGGUGCGAAAGCGUGGGGAGCAAACAGG
rnacentral:rRNA from 1 species